AGGAACUUAGGAUUAAUUAAACCAGAAGCCUUCAAAGCCUCUAAAAAGAGUCAAAUCUCUUAGCUCCU
rnacentral:tRNA from 1 species